UACGUAGGGUGCGAGCGUUAAUCGGAAUUACUGGGCGUAAAGCGUGCGCAGGCGGCUUUGCAAGACAGAUGUGAAAUCCCCGGGCUCAACCUGGGAACUGCAUUUGUGACUGCAAGGCUAGAGUACGGCAGAGGGGGAUGGAAUUCCGCGUGUAGCAGUGAAAUGCGUAGAUAUGCGGAGGAACACCAAUGGCGAAGUCAAU
rnacentral:rRNA from 1 species